rnacentral:rRNA from 1 species
GGGUCAGUAGGUUGGUCGUGCCACCGGUACGUACUGGUCUCACUGAUUCCUCCUUCCUGAAGAACCGUAAUGCCAUUAAUUUGGUGUUGCGGGGAAGCAGGACUGUUACUUUGAAAAAAUUAGAGUGUUUAAAGCAAGCUAACGCUUGAAUACAUUAGCAUGGAAUGAUGAAAUAGGACGAUCGAUCCUAUUUUGUUGGUUUCUAGGAUUGACGUA